AGGAUGUUAACAAGGAGGAUGAAAUAGUCCUCCUUUGACUCUUUCAACUUCUUGGUGAGAAGAAAAUGGAGAGAAAAUUUCUUCCUGAAAAGGAAAUGAUGGUUGUGGAAGGACGUACAAGAGGCAGGGGAAGCUUUAAUACCUCCUGGCUUUGGGGAAGCUGAGGGAGCCACAAGGCCUUUAACUUCCAUAAAUAAGGCAAAUGUGGACAAAAACAUGAAGUCUGUGGUGAUGGUGGUGUCACCUGUUGAUUCUAAACACUGAGAAAUUCAGUUGUUUUCAUCACUGAUGACUGAAGGGGCCAAAAAAAAGAACUGGCCUACCACAAGUCUCAGAGAUUCUCCAGACACAGAGGAGGAAACUGGGAGGCAGAAUGGCUGGUGGAAAAUGAAGAGUAUCUGUGGCCUUCAUUUACUUCAGAACUAUUCCAGAAGCUCUACCGGGAGAGGUUUUUGAUAACCAAAAGAGACCGCUGUGACAAUGCACUUUGAAUGCUUGACUGCAGUUCCAAGACCAGUAACAACACUAGUUGAACUAGAGCAUAUAUUUUAGGAAAAACAAACAAACCCAACCUUCUAAUCUUGGUUUCCAGUUUCCAGUGUCAGAAGGCCUCCCACAGCACGGUGACAUUCUCAUGCCAGAGUCCCCUUGUACAGUUUACAUCCCCUCACAUGGCAGAUGAGUCUCAUUUGAAGAUUUAAAUACCCAGAUUCCUCUUUCAUCCACUGUAUCUUGUACAUUUUUUCUCUCCAAAACUGACAAAGCCAGUCAUCAUAUGUGUGUGGCCUGUAUGGGUACUUGAUGUGAAGCAGCUUGGACAGCUGUGUAGCUGUCUGAGUGCCCAGACGUAGGAUUUUACAACCUCUCAUUCAGUUGUCCCAUCAGUGCCCAUUCCAGAGAAGGACUAGCACUUCAGAGACAGUGGUGGAGCUGAUGUUCAUCUGAAUAUCCACAAAGAUCCCCAAGUCCCUUCAGAGAUACCAUUUCCCAGACUCAUAAAUGAAACCUACGUAUUUUGUGCUUAGAUGUCUGACUUUUAAAGUUGAUUGCACCGAAACGUGUCAUUUAGGCUAAAUUUAACAAGAAAUUUAGACUGCUGAUCUAUGUUCUUUUAAGAUAUGUUUGUCUUAGAUUUUACAGCCUGAGCAAGGAGUUCCAAAACAAUCUUUUUGUACAUUUUUGUCACAUGCUGUCCUUCAACCAAUAGUUUAUUAUGGCUGGAGUCAUCCUGAGUUACUGAUGCUAAUUCCAAGCAGGAGUGGAGAUCCUAUUCAAAAGAGAGUUCUCUUCUAUUAGCAUGUUAAUCCAGUGUCUUUGGUCUAGAGACAUGCACAGCACUCUUUGGGUCAUUGAGUUAAAACCCUCAACUACAGCCAGCUCCCUGGUCUACCAAGCUUCUGCUCCAUGUGAUCCUCAAAGCAGCAAACUUCAUCACUGUGUGAAAAACUGGAGAUCUAUAAUACAGGAGGAAUGGAAAUCAUAGCUAAAGAAAAGACCACCUCCAAUAGCUUUGGUCCCUAUGACAACAAAGAAUGUCGUAACAGAACUGAAGCUCCUGGAUGCUCCUGGGAAGUAGUCUAAGCUUCAGCUGGGUGGACCGAUGUUUCAAGCUUCAGUAGCUUUUGCUAUUGAGCAAAAUCAAUUUUCCACUUUUCCUACAAUAUUGGUCCCAGGAAAUAAUGGUCUGUUGGUCUAAUGCUAGUGUGAACACUAAGACUCUUUGACUAUAUCUUGUUCCUCGCCAUCAGUUUAUUCAGUGCUUCAAGGGUAGGGAAAACCACAACCCAGAAACAACUUGUUCAACUGAAAAGUGGAGGGAAAAAAAAAAAAGGUUUCCUGGUCUCCCAAGUAAUCAGUGAAAGUCCAGAAAUAUUGGUUCAGUAUUAUAUAAAUGCAUAAAUGCAUUAAGUAUCUACUACUGUUCAGCACCACCCCCUCCUCCCCCCCCAUGCCCCCUUUGUAACUGGACAUCCAGAGAGCUCUGCUGUAAGUUUAAUUCUCUAUUUCCAGGAGCUGACUCAUUCUGUGCCUUGGUGGGGUUAUCACAUUUCUUCUUAAAACUUUUAAUGUAACUUUUCCUUAAUACCCUGUUUGGAAAACUUACACCAAGACUGAAAUCUCCAGAUGGGUAGGAAGGAACUUUUUAUUAGGCUUAACACUCUCUAAGUUUUUUUUCCUUGAUUAUUCUCCCCAGGCACCAGAGGGUGUCCAGUAUUAUAGCUAACUGUGCCACAUUAUCACUCUGCUCUUCAGGUUACCACUUCAAGACACCACAAAAUCUCUGUUGACAUUCCCUGCAGGGAGGAUAAAAGCUGCACCAGAGCAGCUUGGACCCUCAUAGGUGAAUGGAGGAGUUUUGAGUGAAUGAACCACACACUUGGAGUCAUGUUCACAUUGACACUGCAUGUUGAUACAGGUCUGGUUUAUCAUGUCACAUAGACUAAAUGUAUAGGAGCAGACUCUUGACAUUUAAAUAAGUGACCAAAAAAAAACCCAACUCAUUAUCUCCUGGGUAGUUCUGUACAUGAUUUCAAGUAUCUGGUGCUGCUCUCCCAGCAGCAUGCAGCGUGCUUUGGUUUCAGCAGGGUUGUGGUGGUUGCUGAUCAGGCCAGAGAGCUUAGAGCUUCCAUGUCCCAGCAAGGACUUUUGCAGAAAUCAGGCCCUGGGAAGGAAGAUUUUCUCAGCAGGUGCAGGGUAUUGCUUUCUGUUGGCACAGCAAUUUUGGCUUGGCUAAGAUGUAUAUUUACUUUAUGUAGCUUUGAGUGUAAUAAGAAUGCUAGCAAAAACCACUUGGAAAAGGAAAAAAGGAAAUGUUAAACCUUAACUCUGCAUUCUCAAUUAAAUGAUUACUCCUUCAGGAUGAAAUUGUUCUUGAUUCUUAUUGUAAACCUUUCAAUUUCUUACAUAAAUAGCAUGAUUAUAUUUACAUAAAUAGUUGCACCCUGGAGUACAACAAUCCUAUUGUACACAAAAAUCCUAUUAAAAUUUCCUGAGAGAAGAACUUUCCUGGUUUGAGCAAUGGUCUGUUAUGCAUGAAACCAGAACUUCUCACUCCUUUCUUCAUUCAGAGCCAAAUCAUGUCUUUA